rnacentral:rRNA from 1 species
AGAGUUUGAUCCUGGCUCAGGAUGAACGCUAGCGGCAGGCUUAAUACAUGCAAGUCGUGGGGCAGCGCAGUGUAGCAAUACAUGGGCGGCGACCGGCAAACGGGUGCGGAACACGUACGCAACCUUCCUUUAAGUGGGGAAUAGCCCGGGGAAACCCGGAUUAAUACCCCGUAACAUCAUGAAGUGGCAUCACUAUAUGAUUAUAGCUUCGGCGCUUGAAGAUGGGCGCGCGGCUGAUUAGGUAGUUGGCGGGGUAACGGCCCACCAAGCCUACGAUCAGUAACUGGUGUGAGAGCACGACCAGUCACACGGGCACUGAGACACGGGCCCGACUCCUACGGGAGGCAGCAGUAAGGAAUAUUGGUCAAUGGGCGAAAGCCUGAACCAGCCAUGCCGCGUGGAGGAUGAAAGCCCUCUGGGUUGUAAACUUCUUUUAUCUGGGAAGAAACCCGCGAUUUCUAUUGCGGUUGACGGUACCAGUUGAAUAAGCACCGGCUAACUCCGUGCCAGCAGCCGCGGUAAUACGGAGGGUGCAAGCGUUAUCCGGAUUCACUGGGUUUAAAGGGUGCGUAGGU